rnacentral:lncRNA from 1 species
GGAAAAUAAAAUCAAAGAUAAACAACAUCAAAAGAUAUCAGAGCACAAAUAGAGUUAUCAUCUACAACAAGGUAAAAGAAAAAUACUAAAACAAUAAGAGUGAAACAUAUAGUUAUACAAUAUCUGUCCAAAAUAGUACACAAAAGGGUGGUCUCUAAUACACUGGUGCAGCUCUCAACCUCUCCAAAAUAAAAAUAUCGGGAGGUAGACCACCUAUCAACUCAUCACUCGCUGAAGAGCUAGCUCGAAGCAAUGCCCUUUCCACGGUCCCUAGCCUCUCCCGGCGUGGAAGGCUCUGAAAGAAAAUAUAAAAUAGAGGGCGUGAGAACUAUAAUUUAUAGUUCCCAGUGGGCAAUUACUGACCUCAGCUCAAUGCAUCACUAGGCCCCAAAGAAAGGGUAAGUCUAAAAAGAGAGCAAUAGAAAUGAAUAAUUGCAUUUAUGAAAGCAUAAUUAAAAGCUAAGAUACUACUUUGCAAUUAAACAUGGUGUUAAUAUUAUGCACCUUUACUUGUCAUAAACAAUAUGUCUCUACAUGGCCACAAGUAAAUAUCACGGUUUACCUUAUGAAGUUGUAAAGAUCAUGCUUUAUCAUGGCAAUAAUGUGUAUAUGAAUGCAAUUAGCAACAUCUCCUAGCAUACUACAUGUAUGUAUGCAUGCUCAAGUGUCCAAAAUCAUGCUAGAAGUAAGUCCAAGUAAUCCAACUACUACUCUCUAUCUAGUAGUGAUUAAAACCCACUCAACACCGUGUCAAUUUUCAUUUCCAAUUAAGGACCUACCCAAGGUAGUCCAACUUGUGCCGCCUAAGUGCCUGUGGUAGCCUACAUUCCUGCUCUUAGAAUGUGUCUGUCCCACUCAACCCCGUAGGCUUCUCAAUACCGCACGAGCGAACAUAGGUCGCGUAGGCUAACUCCGGAGUGCCGGCUUGUAGGGAGCGACCCUCACAAGCAUGUGCGAAUGAGCACAAAUGGCAAGCAAGCGUAGUUAAAGGCUCAAGUAUCCAACUCUCAUGUCUCAAACAUGGCAAUAGCUACUAGUAACCCAACGAUUUAGCUCUAUGUCACAAUGUGCUAACCCAACACCCACUGGCUUAGUGCCUCUUUAUGACACUUAAGCAUCACAACUAAUCAAGCCCAAUUCAUAUUCUAUAUCCCAAUUAAGACAUUAAUACCAAUGUUCACUAUAGCCCGGGCCCAAUGCCUCUUAAUGACAUUGGCCCAAUUUCUCAAAUAGUCUAAGUCCCCAAGCCUCUCUAGGCGUCCAAAGUCCCUAAUGUCACAAUUGGGCAUGAAGAUUAAAUGUAUAAAAGUAAUGUUCAUUUUCAUAAUAGAAAUCAUGGUUCCAAGUCUCAACUAGAAUGCUAUAUCUCACAUGCAUGCACUCUAUCACAUAGAGAUCCAAAAAUUUACUAUACAUUACAUGGGCAUGUUAAGCAUUCUAAAAUUCAUAAUAAAUAUAUCUAACAUGAUUAUGCAUGCUUUAUCAUUUAACGAUACUCAAAUCAUCACAAAUGAGAUUUUCUCAUUGUGUGGCUAGGUCAAACCCACCGAACCGUCGCGUAGUCCCUCGUUUCGCCGAACGGAGUUGUCCACGAGUCUCAAAAUAUCCUAAAAAUAAUGAGCGAAGAGAUACAUGGGCAUUACGAUCAACGAUAAGAUCAAACAUUAAGCAUCAAGGCAAAAGGGCUAAAAUCUCACCUAGGGAGUAGAAAAUCUUUCCCAAGCUCCAAAAAAAAGCUAGAAUCCUUCCAAUCUAACCCAAAGGAAGGUUCUAAUCCAAGAAAUUAAGCUCCAAAAGCCCUAGGUUCAAAAUGCCCAAAACAAACCCUAAGUUCCCAAUCUAGGGUUUCAUCUCAAAAAGGAUCAAAAGGAGAAAACAAGUUUCCAACCUUUCAAGAAGCUCCCAACUAGGCUCCAAAUCAACCAAGGUUGGAGAUCUCCUCUCUAAUGAGCUCCUCUCCAAGAUCCAAGCCUCCAACAAGGGUGGAAAAUGCUCUAGGAUGCAAAAGAGAGGAAAAACUAUCUAAAUCCAAGCAAAAAAAAGAGAUAAAAUCCAAGGAGGGAGAAGAGAGGGAGUCCCUACCUUCUUCUCCUGUGUUCUCAGCUCAGGGAGAGCUCUAGGGGUCGUGGGUGCUAUAUAGAAUAGCCACAAUUGCGAAAAACCCCCUGCAGUUCAAAUUGCUCAAAAAUUGCUACUGCGUACCGGUAUACGGGCCCACGUACCGGUACACAUCCCACGAAAAUACCAAACCCGAGCCUCGGGUUGGCUGGGAAGCUGCCUGUGUACCGGUACACAAUCCCAUACCGGUACAACCAUCAACCCUGUACCGGUACAGCCAUCAACCCUGUACCGGCACACAGCCCAAUGAAGGCUACCCGAGAGCUAACCAAAAAUCUGAUUUUUCGGGUUUUAGUGCUAGGCUUCAGACCUCAAUCCUCGGGGUUCGAACCAUAGGUCGGAACACUGUCUACGACCCACCAGAAAGUCUGAAAAAACUCAGGACACAUCCAAUCACUCGAACCUCGCAAUUUGCAAAGGUCCAGUGUGUUACAUUCACCCCUCCUAAAAAGGAGUUUUGUCCGCGAAACUCAAAAGUAAAGUACCUCAAGCCUCCAUCUGAAAAGGAUAGGGAUAGCUCUCCCGCAGUGCGCUCUCCAACUCCCAAGUGGCCUCGCGCUCGUCGUGGUUGCUCCAAAGCACCUUCACGUUGGGAAUCUCACGGUUCCGCAGGCUCUUUACCUCGCAAGCCAAAAUCCUCAAAAGUUGCUCUUCAAAGCUCAAAUCAUCCCUCAGCUUCACUGGUGUAGCAUCCAACACGUGAGCCGAAUCAUAGAUGUACCUCCGAAGGACUGAUACAUGAAACACAUUGUGUACACCCGAUAGGUUUGGCGGUAGAGCAAGUCGAUACACUACCGGGCCUACACGCUCCAAAACCUCAUACGGUCCAAUGAAUCGGGGGCUCAACUUGCCCCGGAUUCCAAAUCUCCUAAUCCCUCUGGUCAGCGAGACUUUCAAGAAGACAUGGUCUCCAAUCUGAAACUCCAAGUCCCGUCGACGCUUGUCAGCAUAACUCUUUUGCCUACUCUGGGCUGUCAACAGUCGCUCCCUGGCAAUGCGAACCUUGUCCUCUGCUUCUUGGAGCAUAUCGGGGCCUAAAGCCAAUCUCUCGCAAACUUCACUCCAGUGAAGUGGCGAUCUGCACUUCCGUCCAUAAAGUGCCUCAAAUGGUGCCAUCUUGAUGCUUACUUGGUAACUGUUGUUAUAAGCAAACUCUGCCAUUGGUAGAUGCUGCGACCAUCCUCCCUGGAAGUUGAUCACACAGGCUCGAAGCAUGUCCUCAAGUGUCUGUAUAGUGCGCUCUGACUGCCGAUCACACUGAGGGUGGAAAGCUGUACUGAAGUCCAAGGGUGUGCCCAAGGCAUCCUGUAAGCUCCGCCAAAAGUGAGAUACAAAUCGGGGGUCUCGAUCUGACACUAUGGAAGUAGGUACCCCGUGCAGUCGUACAAUCUCAUCUAAAUAUACUUGUGCGAGUCUCUCACCAGUCCAACUAGUGUUGAUAGGUAUGAAAUGUGCCGAUUUCGUCAAUCUAUCCACGAUCACCCAUAUAGCAUCAUGCCCGGCCUGCGAGCGGGGCAACCCCACCACAAAGCCCAUGGUGAUCUUUUUCCAUUUCCACACUGGAAUCGCCAAGCUCUGCAAUUUCCCUGCGGGGACUCGGUGCUCAGCUUUAACCUGUUGGCAAGUUAAACAUCUAGCAACAAACUCACCAACGUCUUUCUUCAUCCCGGGCCACCAAUAAAUCAACUUCAAGUCCUUGUACAUCUUGGUGCCUUCCGGAUGUAUAGCAUACGGUGCUCGGUGUGCCUCUCAAAGAAUUUCUUCUUUAAGUGCCGAUUCCGCCGGUACACAUAUCCGUCCACGGAAGCGCAUCAGUCCAACACCGUCCACAGAAAAGUCAUCGGUGCAACCGUCAAUCAUCUUAGCUCGAAUCCUUUGCAACUCCACAUCGGAGACUUGCUUUUCUUUAAUCCUUUCCACAAGAGUAGGUCGCACCAUCAAAGUCAUCAGUCUCAAAGGUGUAUCAGGAGCCACCACCUCCAACUCCAACUGCUUCAUCUGCUCGAUCAAUGGCGGUUGAGUAACCACAAGUAUCGCUAAGUUUUUCGUCGAUUUCUUACUUAGCGUAUCCGCCACCACGUUAGCCUUGCCCGGGUGGUAAAGUAUCAUCAAAUCGUAAUCCUUGAGUAGCUCCAACCAUCUGCGCUGCCUCAAGUUCAACUCCUUCUGAGUAAAUAAAUACUUUAAGCUUUUGUGAUCCGUAUACACUUCACACUGCUCGCCGUAGAGAUAAUGGCGCCAUAGCUUCAACGCAAAGACUACGGCCGCCAACUCCAAGUCGUGAGUAGGAUAAUUCCUUUUAUAAUCCUUUAGUUGGCGAGAAGCAUACACGAUUACCUUCCCAUCCUGCAUCAAAACACAUCCCAAUCUAUUAAAGGAAGCGUCGCUAUAAAUCACAUAUCCUGCUCCAGUAACUGGCAAGGUUAGGAUCGGGGCGGUAGUCAGUCUCUGCUUCAACUCUUGGAAGCUCCUUUCACAUGCAUCAUUCGAAAUGAACUUGGUGCCCUUAUGCGUGAGCCUCGUGAGGGGAGUAGAUAAUCUUGCAAACCCCUCGACAAACCGUCGGUAGUAGCCGGCCAAACCAAAGAAGCUCCGAAUCUCCGUGACAUUCGUCGGCCUUGGCCAAUCUUUGAUAGCUUCAAUUUUUCUCGGGUCCACGCCUAUGCCUGAUCCUGAAAUCACAUAGCCCAAAAACGCCACCUCUCUAAGCCAAAAUUAACACUUUUUCAGCUUGGCAUAGAGCUUCCUUUUCCGAAGUACUUGAAGUACAAGUCUCAAGUGUUCCUCGUGAUCCGCAUCACUCCGGGAAUAAACUAAGAUGUCGUUGAUGAAUACCACGACGAACCUGUCUAGAUAAGGCUUAAACACAAGGUUCAUAAGAUCCAUAAAAGCUGCCGGAGCAUUAGUAAGCCCGAACGGCAUCACAGUAAAUUCAUAAUGUCCAUACUGUGUUCUAAAAGCCGUCUUUGACACAUCCUCAGGCUUGAUCUUUAACUGGUGAUAUCCGGACUGCAGGUCGAUCUUGGAAUACACACUGGAUCCCUGUAACUGAUCAAAUAGAUCGUCGAUCCUCGGCAAUGGAUACUUAUUUUUAAUCGUGACUUUGUUAAGUUCACGAUAGUCCACGCAUAAGCGAAGUGAUCCAUCAUAUUUCUUAACAAAUAGAACCGGUGCUCCCCAAGGUGACACACUCGGUCGCACAAAACCCUUAUCCAAAAGAUCCUCCAACUGUGCCUUCAGCUCUCUCAAUUCUGCUGGUGCCAUCCUAUAGGGCGCCUUUGAGAUUGGAGUAGUCCCGGGAACGAGAUCUACCACAAACUCAAUCUCCCUAUCAGGUGGCAUGCCUGGAAGCUCUACUGGAAACACAUCUCCAAACUCCCGCACUACGGGGAUAUCCUAAAUCCUGGGGUCAUUAUCAUCACCCCUCAACACAAUAGUAGCCAAGUAGACCACACAGCCUCUACUAAUCAACUGCCUAGCUCGCGAGGAGCUAAUCGUCAUCGCAAACAGCGAACUCUGGCAUCCACGGUACACAACCUCCGCCUGCCCCAGCUUUCUAAAUGUCACAGUUCGAUCCUUGCAAUCGAUAGUGGCGUAGUACUUAGUCAACUAAUUCAUGCUCAAGACAACAUCAAACUCUCCGAGUUUAUGCAAAGCUAAAAGGUCUACGGGCAUAAUCCAAUCUCUAACCCGAACAGAGCAACUGGGGCAGAACUCCCGAAUAUCUAAAGUGUGAUCGGGCACAACAACUCGUCGAGGAUGCAAAAAAGAUGUCAGUGGGAUGCCAUGCAACUCGGCAAACAACCGGUCUAUGAAUGAAUGCGAUGCACCGGUAUCAAACAAUGCUCGUACUCGAAUACCAUAAAGUAAAAUGAUAGCUGCGACCACAUUCUCGGCUGCUGCUGCCUCCUCAGUCUGAGCCGCGUACAUGCGCCCGCUCGGGGCCUGUCGUGACUGUUAGAUGUAUGCCCUAGAAGCCAACCAGGACGACACAUGUAUUCUUUCUAGGACAUAAAUUUGUAUUUGACUUUAAAUAUUAUGAAUAACUUUGGGUUUUUUAUAUUUCCAUUCAUGUUGUGUAUGUGUCCAUGAAUCGUCCAAGGAAUUAAUAAGAUGAUGACAUAUAUUCUCAAGAGUUGAGAAUUUGAGACAUGUGUCAUUGGUGGUUAAUUCCUAAAUGCUCCCGAUCAAUGGAUCAUCACGGGGACGGUGAUUGAUCCGGUGAGAUUGGUGCAUAGGUAGCUUCCCUUUUGGGUAGACGAGUUUCGAGUCGACAGUGUGGGGACACUGAAGCGAAUAUGCAGGUGGUUGUUAGAGAACAAGGGUACCGAGCGUGACCAACGCGAGAAGUCACUUGGAUGUCUACUCACUCGUCAGUGACUUACUCAAUUGUUGCAGUAGUGUGACUGGUCCUUUGACCUGCGGUGCCUCGGCUAUUCACAAUGAGGUUACUGUAGUUUGACUGUACAUACACUUGGUCCCUAGCCAUUCGGGUCCUUGCGGUGCAUGUUGGCUGCAGUAGGUUCAUUGUAGGAAUAGGGUGCGCACUUAGAUGGAAUCUAUCUCCCUUGGUAGAUAGGGGUGUUAGUCCUAUGUGAUUUAUGAGACCGAGUUUAGAAGACCUUGGCCAGGGCAGAAUAAAUAGCGGAAAAGGGUUUCCGAUAUUAGAAACUCGAGUCGAAUAAAUUUAACAUAUGACAGACGAUGGGGUUUGACGAGUUAUUCCAUAACCUCCGUCUAGUCGGGACUCAUGAUAGAAGGAUUGUAUCACACGGUAACUGCACCAAGAGGUUCAGUAUUCCAUUCUACUGGAAUGCCACUACAUGCUGCUAGGCGUCACUGGUGGAUUGUGAGACUCAUGAGAAUUAUCUAGAUGAUCGAUAAUUCUCAUUGGGCUGAGUUGGAAUUGUUCUAAUCCAUUGAAAGGAGUUUCAGUGAUAUUGUUGAUAGUGAUCAAAAUAUAUCUCACUACCAGAUAGAAUAGAACCUAUGGGGUCACACACAUAAGAGGUUGUGAUUGAUCGGAUAGCUAGAUCGCGAUUAUUGAAUCGCCGGAGGACCUAAUUGUCAAUAUAUUGAUAAUUGGACUAAUUUGUAAUUGUUACAAAUUAGUGGUAUUAAAGUGUAAACAUUACAGGAGAGCACUUACUAAUAGUUAGUAAAUUAUAAGAGGACUUAUGUGCAAAUGUUGCAUUAUUACUUUGAUAAGAUCAAAUUAAUAUAAAAUUCAAGUCGAAUCAAAUUAGGAUUUGAUCGAUCUAACCAAUUAAGGAAAAGAUAAAUUUAAAUCUAGAUUUAUACUUAUCCUUAAUUGUCAUUAUAUUAUUAGGAAUAGGAUUAUAUUCUUAUAUAUAAUAUACGGGAGUUUUUAGAAAACCCUAGCCGUCAUCUAUUCUCUUUUCUCUCUUCCAUCUUCUAGCAAGAAAGACGUCCUUUUGCAAGGGAGCUAGCACCCCGGUGAGGACAUCGAUCAAAUCAAGAACAUUGUGUGGAUACCUAUAGAGGCCGGACGCGUGUGCGGCUUCAAGAGAACCGAAUUCCACGAUCAUCAAAUUGAGGGGAAGAUCUAUCCGCGAAAAAGGUAAAGAUUCGAUCUUGUUUUUCUUCUUUAAUCUUAAAACAUGAGGGAUCCUAAUUGCGUGGUUUUUGAGAUUGGAUCUCGAAAGUUUUUCAGAAUCAAAUUUGUUUGAUUUCUUUUUCCGCUGCGUUUUACUGUACGUAAUUUUCUAACAGUGACCCCUCCAUCUGUCGCUGGACAGGUGGCCGCCCAGCCUGGUGAGGUGCAGGAAGUGUCCCCUGGCUGGGACCCGGUGAAGCUGGUGCUGAUGCCGAUGAUGGCGCUGGCGCUGAACCCCUGAGGCAGUCCGACUGAAGGUGGCCCUCCUGGACACAUAGAUAGCACCUGCCCCGACUGCGCGUGCACUGUCGUAGGAAAUGUGGGCCACCACAGAUCACGCAGCGCGGGGCCUGGCGUCGAUCAGGACCUCCUCGCUCGGUAGACUGGCCACGUCCUCGCGACUGGCUCCGACUCCUGGGAUGCCUCGGCGGCCUCCGUGAGUACGUCUGACUCGCACCCUCAGCCGCUGUCCUCUUGCCCUUGCCCUUGUCUAGGGCCUCGUGUCGCUCCUGAAGGUCUGCCGCUCCAGCUUCCACAAUGAGUGCACGGUCCACAACCUCCCGGUAGGUUUGGAGGUUGGAGGACUGCACCAACCGGAAGAUCGAAGGCCGUAAUCCACGCUAAAAAAUGCGGGCAUUAUCCUCGUCAUCCUGUACCAUAAAUGGUACACAGCAGAGUAGCCGAGAAAACUCCCUCUCGUACUCGGCCACAGAUCGCUCCUCCUGGCGCAAGCUGCGCAAGUCCUGCUCCAUCUUUCUCUUGGCGCUAGUAGGGAAGUAGUGCGCCAGAAGCAGCUCCUUGAACCUCGCCCAAGAGAUCACUGCCAAGUCUGUGUUGGGGUUGUCCAGGAUAUCCAACCACCAACGGUAGGCCUCGCCGUCUAGGAAGUGUGUGGCAAGCCACAAUCUGUCCCUCUUCUCCACAAAGGUAUCUCAAAAUAGCUUCUCCAUAUGCAUAAGCCACUUUUCCACUAUCCAAUGGUCAACGUUCUCCCCGUCAAAGGCCCGGGGGCUGCAUCUCCUGAACUCACUGAGACGCUCCAUAAGCCGAUCCCGCUAGGCUCCCUCAACCAUCGCGGGGAAAACCGCCCCCGCUACAGAUGCUCGCGCCGGUGGUGCCACGAACUCCUCUCCCCGAGGCGCAAUAUCCAGUGAUGUCCUUGGAGUACUGGGCACAACAUUAUAAAAGCGCAAGUUAGUAAAACCCACGCUAUCGCAACCCCGCUCAAUAAAUAAGUACCCAAAUCAUGCGAAAGUAAGGAAAUGCCCUUCACUACUAACUCCCGAUGUUACGUUGUCGGCCGCCAACGUAACCGUCCGUGAAGUUAGAAGCCACACACUCCGAUCAAACUCUAACUUUUUAGAGUUAUCAUCAAGCCCAAUCGAAAUACUUUCGCUAACAGUUCAAUUAGACCUCGUCUCACACGAGCCUAUUUUCUAUAGUCCAACCGGCCUAAGGUUUGCUAGGUCCACUAAGACUCAACCCUAGGCUCUGAUACCAAACUAAUCUGUCACGCCCCGGGACCGGCCGAGGCCCUCCCGGUAGCGUGCCCAGACCCGCCAUAUGUCAGCACAUAUAAGGCGUCUACAUUAACAGCGGAAAAUAAAACCAAAGAUAAACAACAUCUAGAGAUAUCAGAGCACAAAUAGAGCUAUCAUCUACAACAAGGUAAAAGGAAAAUACUAAAGCAAUAAGAGUAAAACAUAUAGUUAUACAAUAUCUGUCUAAAAUAGUACACAAAAGGGUGGUCUCUAAUACAAUGGUGCAGCUCUCAACCUCUCCAAAAUAAAAACAUCGGGAGGUAGACCACCUAUCAAUUCGUCACUCGCUGAAGAGCUAGCUCGAAGCAACGCCCUUCCCACGGUCCCUAGCCUCUCCCGGCGUGGAAGGCUCUGAAAGAAAACAUAAAACAGAGUGCGUGAUAACUAUAAUUUAUAGUUCCCAGUGGGCAAUUACUGACCUCAGCUCAAUGCACC